GACGAACGCUGGCGGCGUGCCUAAUACAUGCAAGUAGAACGCUGAAGAGAGGAGCUUGCUCUUCUUGGAUGAGUUGCGAACGGGUGAGUAACGCGUAGGUAACCCGCCUUGUAGCGGGGGAUAACUAUUGGAAACGAUAGCUAAUACCGCAUAACAAUGGAUGACACAUGUCAUUUAUUUGAAAGGGGCAAUUGCUCCACUACAAGAUGGACCUGCGUUGUAUUAGCUAGUAGGUGAGGUAAUGGCUCACCUAGGCGACGAUACAUAGCCGACCUGAGAGGGUGAUCGGCCACACUGGGACUGAGACACGGCCCAGACUCCUACGGGAGGCAGCAGUAGGGAAUCUUCGGCAAUGGGGGCAACCCUGACCGAGCAACGCCGCGUGAGUGAAGAAGGUUUUCGGAUCGUAAAGCUCUGUUGUAAGUCAAGAACGGGUGUGAGAGUGGAAAGUUCACACUGUGACGGUAGCUUACCAGAAAGGGACGGCUAACUACGUG
rnacentral:rRNA from 1 species